CUAGAUCGGUGGGUUCCAACCCCACGAAAAUUUAGUUAACAGCUAAAUACCCUAAACAACUGGCUUCAACCUA
rnacentral:tRNA from 1 species